GCCUGGGUGGCUCAGUCGGUUAAGCGACUGACUUUGGCUCGGUCAUGAUCUGUAUUCGUGGGUUUGAGCCCCACGUCAGGCU
rnacentral:tRNA from 1 species